rnacentral:lncRNA from 1 species
UGUUUUUUUUUUAAAUAAAUAAAAUAAAAUAAAAUAAUAUCUUUUUCUUAUUCUUCUCCUUAUUCUUCUCCUCAUUCUUCUCCUCAUCUUUCCAUCUUUUUAUCUUUCUCCUUAUUCUUCUCCUCAUUCUUCUCCUUAUCUUUCCAUCUUCUAUCUUUCUAUCUUUCUAUCUAUUUUCCUUUCUAUUUUAUUUUUAUCUUUUUAUCUUUAUCUUUUUAAGAAAAAAAAACGAAAAUUAAAAUAAAAAAAAAGUUUAUAUCUUUUAUUGUUUUUAUUUUUUUGGCUAAUUUUGUGCUCUAGUGCAGUGUUCUUUAGUGUGUGCAAAUAAGAUUUGUACCAGGAGCACAAGAUCAUCAGGAGGUAGAUAAGGAAGGAGAAUUGGUUCACCAACACCCUGAUGUGAAAAGUGACAAAGCCAAACCUGGCACACUAAUGAAAUUUCAGAAUAGGUUUUGGGUUGUCAAGACUAUCAAAGCAAACAGAGCGCGCUCUUGAGAUUGAUAAUCCUUAGAGUUGGUGACAAGGAAAUUUUCGAGAUUUUGUUGGUGUCAUGGAGGAAGGAAGAACGCCAACAGAAAAUAUCAACACCUACUAAUGGGUGUUUGGGCUUUACCGGGUCAAGCUAAUGACGUUAAAGAAGCGUUUGCUGGGAGGCAACCCAGUUUCUAACCCCGUUUCUGAAAUUUUUUUUUUGUUUCUUUUAUUUUAUUUUAUUUUAUUUAGGUUAAAUGCUGCUUCUGAUGGCAGUGAUGAUAACAUUUACUGAUGAAUGCUUUUACAACAUCUACUGAUGGAUGUUAGGUGAUUUGGCAUCUACUGAUGGAUGCCAAUGUAGAUAAGAAAGAUUAGCAUCUACUAAUGGAUGCUAUAUGGUUAGACAUCUACUGAUGGAUGUCACUAACAACAUUUACUAAUGAAUGCUACUA